rnacentral:misc_RNA from 1 species
GGAAGGAAGAAAAUGAGGGGAGAGAAAAUGAGGAGAAAAGGCUGUUUGGAUAGAUGAGAAAAUGGAGAGGGUGAGAGUGGAUAAGUUGUUUGUAAUUCCGUAAAUUACAUUUUAACUUUCCUUUCUUGAAAAAUGUUAUAGGGAUAAAUGUGGUAUGUACCACAUUUUUGCUCAGUUUCUCCCCAUGUUGUUAACAAAAAUUUUCCAUAGGUCCAUGUCACUAUUUCUAAGGUGAUUUUUCCACUAUUCAUGUUCUACCAUCUUCCAAACAAAGAGGACCCUUAUCCAUUUUUCCCAUCUCCCAAACAAAGUAACUCCACAUUUUUCUUUACCUUCUCU